UACGAAGGGGGCUAGCGUUGCUCGGAAUUACUGGGCGUAAAGGGAGCGUAGGCGGACAUUUAAGUCAGGGGUGAAAUCCCAGAGCUCAACUCUGGAACUGCCUUUGAUACUGGGUGUCUUGAGUGUGAGAGAGGUAUGUGGAACGUCCGAGUGUAGAGGUGAAAUUCGUAGAUAUUCGGGAAGAACACCAGUGGCGAAGGCGACUCGCUGGACAAGUAUUGACGGCUG
rnacentral:rRNA from 1 species